UACAGAGGGUGCAAGCGUUGUUCGGAAUUAUUGGGCGUAAAGCGCGUGUAGGCGGCUUUGCAAGUCGGGUGUGAAAGCCCUCAGCUCAACUGAGGAAGUGCGCCCGAAACUGCAGAGCUUGAGUGCCGGAGAGGGUGGCGGAAUUCCCCAAGUAGAGGUGAAAUUCGUAGAUAUUGGGAGGAACACCAGUGGCGAAGGCGGCUACCUGGACCGGUUCUGACGCUGAGGCGCGAAAGCGUGGGUAGCAAACAGG
rnacentral:rRNA from 1 species